UCCACUGGAGAAAACUGUGUGUGUGUAUAUUAGGCCUGAGCGAUUAUGUGAUCGUGAUCAAUGAUCGUGAUAAAUUUCAGGUCGAUUACGAUGAUCAGCUCUGAGCUUAUUUCUCGAUUACACGUGCACAUUGUUGCAAUACACAUAUAAUACAGUUGGUGGCGCCAAUGCAACACUACAGAUGCAAACCACCAUCAUACUCGAUGAAGAAGAAGCACGUGGUCACAUGCGUGACAACAGCCAAUCAGAGACGACCUUUUACUUCUUCGCUUCUGUUUCGCGUUCUAAACAG